AUGUAUGGGUGUGUUCUGAGUGCGGUUAGGAGAGUUAUGAGGUGUUGUAUGGUGUUUUAGAUUAGUUUUAAGGGUUUGAAGUGGUCUGUGCGAUUGUGUGGAGUGUCUUGGGAGUGUUUGGGGAUGAUUUUGGUGUAGUUAGAUGUUUCUAGUUGAGUUAUGGGUUUAUUUGUUAAUAUUUUGAAGUGUUGCAUAGGGUUUUGAGUGUGUUUCGGGUUAAUGUCCUCACUUACGUUUGCUAGUCUUGUAUAAUUUCAUGGUAUGAUGGACGCAGCUGAGGUGGGCCUCUGCUGUGGCCAGGCAGUUCAGCCUUGCCGUCAACCCUCCAUGUGAUGAGUGAGUUGCCGAUUGAGCUGGAGUGUCCUGGUAUUGGGGGCUCGUCUGGUAUUGUAGACAACCAUCUGUGUAACCUUUUCGUGAAGAGGUCCGGUGUGACCCCUGGCAUGUUCGUGAUGGUGUCCGGCACAGCGUUGAAGAGGUCCGCAGAAAACAACACGCCGAUUUAUUUGAAGUCAAGGACGGAGAUUAAAACGGCCUUGAAAAACACCACACCCGUUUUGUCCACCGCUAUCACCACCUUUUCCCAGAUCAAGGAAGUGUAUUACAGACUCACACAUAAGGAAGAGGUGUGAGGUUGCGUGGUAGGUGCGUUCACUGGUCUGGGCUGUGUUGGUGCGUUUUCUGAAGAGAUGACCGCAGAAACACUGGCUGCUGAUGACUACAGCCGCACAGAGGCAGUGUACUGUUCAAGCUGGAUGGAACAGUUGUAUUGCACAGCCAAGGAGUUUGUCACAGCAUACCUAAGAAUGCACUUCAUUGUGUCUUGCAGGUUAGCACCCCUAUCACACAAAAAUGUGCAAUCUGAAAUGGAAAAGAAAAAUCUUAUACCUAAUCUAACACACACAAUCAUUCACAAAUAAUCACCACUCCAAUGCUUACCAUAAACUAAUUUGAAGUAAUAUCCCACUCAAUUGAAAACUCAAGAAAACUGCUUGUUCAGCUUUGUAUUCACCCUCGCGUUGGAUUUGGUAAGUUGAGGUUGUUGUUUAAGCCUCAUUAUCACUGCAAUAAAGUACUAAGCAUUAACCUGAACCACGUGACUCCUAUACUGAUCUCCGUUUAUAAUGAAAUAGUAGCUUUGAUAACCACACCACACUAACUCCCUCCUUCUCCUCUUUACAUGUGAGUACCCGUAUCACAGGUCACACAGUGGGACUGAAUAAAGUCAAGUACAAAUUACGGUUUGCUAGGCAUUCGGUGUUAGGCAUAGGGCGAUAGGCGGCACGGCUAACCAUUCUCUUCCAGGUACAUGUUAAUUAUCUAGUCUUCUCCAGUAAUGCCCUGGUUAGCGCACCGUGGCGGCAAUCCUGGAGCCUCAGUUUUAUUUAUUUUUUGGGUGUGUGGUUUUAUAUGGUAAUUUUUGUUGUUCCAGGGUUGCGUGGUAGGUGCGUUCACUGGUCUGGGCUGUGUUGGUGCGUUUUCUGAAGAGAUGACCGCAGAAACACUGGCUGCUGAUGACUACAGCCGCACAGAGGCAGUGUACUGUUCAAGCUGGAUGGAAGUAUGCAAACCUCGCAAUGAAGAUGGAAAAGUUUAGGAGAUGGUUCUUCUAUCUUGACUUUUGCCUAAAAUAAGCAUCUUGUGUGUGUGUGUGUGUAUUUACCUAGUUGUAUUUACAUAGUUCUAGUUUUAUAG
rnacentral:misc_RNA from 1 species